AUGGCCAGCCCUCGGUCGCCCGCCGCCGGCGCCCUCGCCGGGGACGAGGCGAUCUGGAGGAAGCUCCGCGACGCGGGCUUCGACGAGGAGUCCAUCAGGCGGCGCGACAAGGCGGCGCUCAUCGCCUACAUCUCGCGUCUCGAGUCCGAGGUACCUCGCUCCCUCCCCUCCCCUCCCCUUCCCCGCCGCGUCGCGUUUCAUGGCAUGCCGGAGCAGUCUUUCUGGGGCUUCUUUCGGAGAGGAUUGGCGAGUCGCUGCGUGGUUUCUUGGCCUCGUCAGGCCAACGGCGGCGUUGUUCCGUGCGCAGAUUGGGUGGGAAGACGGCGUCUUGGAUUCUGCUCGCAGCCCCGUUUCUUGGUUUCUUUGGCACCGUGGUGCGUGUUGGUGCUGGAUGGGUUGCCUGACGAUGAAAUGCGUCGUUCUGGCUCAUUGCCCAGUGUGUCUGUAGGGCGGAGUUGA
rnacentral:rRNA from 1 species